AAGCACUCAGCUCGUUUUUUGUCAUCAGUCAUCAGACCCGAAAGAUGGUACCAUCACUGUGCUU